rnacentral:rRNA from 1 species
UGCCAGCAGCCGCGGUAAAACGUAGGAGGCAAGCGUUAUCCGGAUUUACUGGGCGUAAAGCGCAUGCAGGCGGUUCGUUAAGUUGGGCAUGAAAUCUCUCGGCUUAACCGGGAGGGGUUGUCCAAUACUGGCGGACUUGAGGGCAGGAGAGGGAAGCGGAAUUCCAGGUGUAGCGGUAAUAUGCGCAGAUAUCUGGAGGAACACCAGUGGCGAAGGCGGCUUUCUGGCCUGUACCUGACGCUAAGAUGCGAAAGCCAGGGGAGCGAACGGGAUUAGAUACCCCGGUAGUCCUGGCUGUAAACGAUGGAUACUAGGUGUGGGUGGUAUUGACCCCAUCCGUGCCGAAGCUAACGCGUUAAGUAUCCCGCCUGGGGAGUACGGCCGCAAGGCUAAAACUCAAAGGAAUUGACGGGGGCCCGCACA